AUCCAGCUGAUGGGUCCCCAAUAGGACGAAACAGAUGUCCUGCAU
rfam:Schistosoma curassoni strain Dakar, Senegal genome assembly, scaffold: SCTD_scaffold0008609